rnacentral:rRNA from 1 species
GACGAACGCUGGCGGCGUGCUUAACACAUGCAAGUCGAACGAGAACGGGUUAUAGCUUGCUAUAAUUGUCAGCUAAGUGGCGCACGGGUGAGUAAUGUAUAGGUAAUAUGCCUCUUACUAAGGGAUAACAAAUGGAAACGUUUGCUAAUACCUUAUACUCCUUAUUAACAGAAGUUAAUAAGGGAAAGAUUUAUUGGUAAGAGAUUAGCCUGUAUUGUAUCAGUUAGUUGGUGGGGUAAUGGCUUACCAAGACUAUGACACAUAACUGGUUUGAGAGGAUGAUCAGUCACACUGGAACUGAGACACGGUCCAGACUCCUACGGGAGGCAGCAGUGGGGAAUAUUGCACAAUGGACGAAAGUCUGAUGCAGCAACGCCGCGUGGAGGAUGACACAUUUCGGUGCGUAAACUCCUUUUAUAUGAGAAGAUAAUGACGGUAUUAUAUGAAUAAGCACCGGCUAACUCCGUGCCAGCAGCCGCGGUAAAAC